AAACUCGUUGGCGCGUAGGGAACUACGCUCUAGCUUGCUGGAAAGAAACUUGGGGACAUCUGUUCAGAGACGAAUAGAAGGAACCUGAAGAGAAGCAGUAAAGGUUCUGGAAGGGAGUAUCUAGAAUGCUGUGUUAUAUUCAGCAGAGUAUCGAAAAAGAUCAAGACCGAAUAUUGUAAUUGGAUUUAGGAAGAAAGAGGCUCCAACUCUGAGGUGGAAAGAGAGGUGGCCUGUUCAGGAGAGCAAGGCACGACAGAGCAGCCAGGCUUUGGAUGAAGAUCUACAACUGAACAAUGUGGAAGGGAUAUAAGUAUCCCCCAGGAGGG